rnacentral:tRNA from 1 species
GGGCAGUUAGCUCAGCGGGAGAGCGUCCGCCUCACACGCGGAAGGUCAUAGGUUCAAUCCCUAUACUGCCCACCA